rnacentral:tRNA from 1 species
CCAUAGUUCAAUGGAUAGAAUAGCGGCCUCCGAAGCCGUUGGUGCAGGUUCGAUUCCCGCUGGGCG